rnacentral:rRNA from 1 species
GAUGAACGCUGGCGGCGUGCCUAAUACAUGCAGGUCGAGCGAACAGACGAGGAGCUUGCUCCUCUGAUGUUAGCGGCGGACGGGUGAGUAACUCGUGGAUAACCUACCUAUAAGACUGGGAUAACUUCGGGAAACCGGAGCUAAUACCGGAUAACAUGUUGAACCGCAUGGUUCAACAGUGAAAGACGGUCUUGCUGUCACUUAUAGAUGGAUCCGCGCCGCAUUAGCUAGUUGGUAAGGUAACGGCUUACCAAGGCAACGAUGCGUAGCCGACCUGAGAGGGUGAUCGGCCACACUGGAACUGAGACACGGUCCAGACUCCUACGGGAGGCAGCAGUAGGGAAUCUUCCGCAAUGGGCGAAAGCCUGACGGAGCAACGCCGCGUGAGUGAAGAAGGUCUUCGGAUCGUAAAACUCUGUUAUUAGGGAAGAACAAAUGUGUAAGUAACUAUGCACGUCUUGACGGUACCUAAUCAGAAAGCCACGGCUAACUACGUG